GUCUUGUAAUUGGAAUGAUGGUGACCUAAACCCUCACCAGAGUAACAAUUGGAGGGCAAGUCUGGUGCCAGCAGCCGCGGUAAUUCCAGCUCCAAUAGCGUAUAUUAAACUUGUUGCAGUUAAAAAGCUCGUAGUUGAAUUUCUGCGUUAUCGAGUUAUUGACUCUUGUCUUUAAUCGAUUUCGCUUUUGGGAUUUAUCCCUUUUUACUUUGAGAAAAUUAGAGUGUUUCAAGCAGACUUUUGUCUUGAAUACUUCAGCCAUGGAAUAAUAGAGUAGGACCCUUUGGUUCUUAUUUUGUUGGUUUUUGAACCUUAGUAAUGGUUAAUAGGAACGGUUGGGGGCAUUCGUAUUUAACUGUCAGAGGUGAAAUUCUUAGAUUUGUUAAAGACGAACUACUGCGAAAGCAUUUGCCAAGGACGUUUCCAUUAAUCAAGAACGAAAGUUAGGGGAUCGAAGACGAUCAGAUACCGUCGUAGUCCUAACCAUAAACUA
rnacentral:rRNA from 1 species